AAUAGAUACCCGGGUAGUCCACGCCGUAAACGAUGAGUGCUAAGUGUUAGAGGGUUUCCGCCCUUUAGUGCUGAAGUUAACGCAUUAAGCACUCCGCCUGGGGGAGUACGGCCGCAAGGCUGAAACUCAAAGGAAUUGACGGGGGCCCGCACAAGCGGUGGAGCAUGUGGUUUAAUUCGAAGCAACGCGAAGAACCUUACCAGGUCUUGACAUCCUCUGACAACCCUAGAGAUAGGGCUUCUCCUUCGGGAGCAGAGUGACAGGUGGUGCAUGGUUGUCGUCAGCUCGUGUCGUGAGAUGUUGGGUUAAGUCCCGCAACGAGCGCAACCCUUGAUCUUAGUUGCCAUCAUUAAGUUGGGCACUCUAAGGUGACUGCCGGUGACAAACCGGAGGAAGGUGGGGAUGACGUCAAAUCAUCAUGCCCCUUAUGACCUGGGCUACACACGUGCUACAAUGGACGGUACAAAGAGCUGCAAGACCGCGAGGUGGAGCUAAUCUCAUAAAACCGUUCUCAGUUCGGA
rnacentral:rRNA from 1 species